GUCUGGGAUAGCUCAGUUGGUAAAACAUGAGACUCUUAAUCUCAAGGUCACAGGUUCUAGCCCCACGCUGGGCA